GAGACAACGAUGAUUUAUCAAUAUUGCGGGCUGCAGACCGUAAUAUUAAUAACUCAUUCGUGGAUUCGUUAAGCAAGCAAACCGGUAGGUUAUUUUAUGUUAGAAUGUUCAGUAAUAAUAAAGUAUGUAUUGGGUCAGUUAAUUUUAUUCCAUUAGUUUGAUUGUUUAUAAUUGUGACUAGAUGGAUUAUUACGGGAAACCAGUCACUUUCCAUCGAUCUGGAUGAUCAGAGGUUACCUUAGUGAGUGGGCAUUUGUUUUUAUAUAUAUACCUAUAUACUCGAUUUCCCCAGAAAUCAAAUUUAAAUGAAAAGUAUAGUGAAAUGAAAUGAAAUAUGAUUUGAUUGCCAUG
rnacentral:lncRNA from 1 species